rnacentral:rRNA from 1 species
GAUGAACGCUGGCGGCGUGCCUAAUACAUGCAAGUCGAGCGAACAGACGAGGAGCUUGCUCCUCUGACGUUAGCGGCGGACGGGUGAGUAACACGUGGAUAACCUACCUAUAAGACUGGGAUAACUUCGGGAAACCGGAGCUAAUACCGGAUAAUAUAUUGAACCGCAUGGUUCAAUAGUGAAAGACGGUUUUGCUGUCACUUAUAGAUGGAUCCGCGCCGCAUUAGCUAGUUGGUAAGGUAACAGCUUACCAAGGCAACGAUGCGUAGCCGACCUGAGAGGGUGAUCGGCCACACUGGAACUGAGACACGGUCCAGACUCCUACGGGAGGCAGCAGUAGGGAAUCUUCCGCAAUGGGCGAAAGCCUGACGGAGCAAAGCCGCGUGAGUGAUGAAGGUCUUCGGAUCGUAAAACUCUGUUAUUAGGGAAGAACAAAUGUGUAAGUAACUAUGCACGUCUUGACGGUACCUAAUCAGAAAGCCACGGCUAACUACGUG